CCAAGGAUGUUUUCAUUAAUCAAGAACGAAAGUUAGGGGAUCGAAGACGAUCAGAUACCGUCGUAGUCUUAACCAUAAACGAUGCCGACCAGCGAUUAGGAGACGUUGAAUACAAAACACCACCAUCGGUUGCGGUCGUCCUUGGCGUCUCGGUUUCGGCCGGGGCGCGGGGACGGUUUAGCCCGGUGGCACCGGUGAAU
rnacentral:rRNA from 1 species